GCCAGAAAGAUCGUAAGCUUGAUCCUCAAAUUGAAGAGCAAUUUGGUGGUGGGAGAUUGCUAGCUUUCAUUGCUUCUCGACCUGAUCAAUAUGGCAGGGCUGACGGCUAUAUUUUGGAAGAUAAGGAGCUUGAAUUUUAUAUGAAGAAAAUCCAGAAG